GAUCCUGGCUCAGGAUGAACGCUGGCGGCGUGCUUAACACAUGCAAGUCGAACGAUGAUCCCAGCUUGCUGGGGGAUUAGUGGCGAACGGGUGAGUAACACGUGAGUAACCUGCCCUUGACUCUGGGAUAAGCCUGGGAAACCGGGUCUAAUACUGGAUAUGACCUUUUGGCGCAUGCCAUGUUGGUGGAAAGCUUUAUUGCGGUUUUGGAUGGACUCGCGGCCUAUCAGCUUGUUGGUGGGGUAAUGGCCUACCAAGGCGACGACGGGUAGCCGGCCUGAGAGGGUGGACGGCCACACUGGGACUGAGACACGGNCCAGACUCCUACGGGAGGCAGCAGUGGGGAAUAUUGCACAAU
rnacentral:rRNA from 1 species